rnacentral:rRNA from 1 species
GUGAGGAAUAUUGGACAAUGGGCGCAAGCCUGAUCCAGCCAUGCCGCGUGCAGGAAGACGCAUCUAUGGUGUGUAAACUGCUUUUGUACGGGAAGAAACACUCCCUCGUGAGGGAGCUUGACGGUACCGUAAGAAUAAGGAUCGGCUAACUCCGUGCCAGCAGCCGCGGUAAUACGGAGGAUCCAAGCGUUAUCCGGAAUCAUUGGGUUUAAAGGGUCCGUAGGCGGUUUAAUAAGUCAGUGGUGAAAGCCUAUCGCUCAACGAUGGAACGGCCAUUGAUACUGUUAGACUUGAAUUACAAGGAAGUAACUAGAAUAUGUAGUGUAGCGGUGAAAUGCUUAGAUAUUACAUGGAAUACCAAUUGCGAAGGCAGGUUACUACUUGUGGAUUGACGCUGAUGGACGAAAACGUGGGGAGCGAACAGGAUUAGAUACCCCUGUAGUCC